CGACUCGGUCUUUCUCCCCUCCCCUCCGCCCGGCCGUUCCUCCCUCCCGCCGCCGCCUCUUCCUCGGUGAGGCGCUCUUCCAGCGGGUAGGCAGCAUGGCGGCCGUGGAGACGCGGGUGUGCGAGACAGACGGCUGCAGCAGUGAGGCCAAGCUCCAGUGUCCCACCUGCAUCAAGCUGGGCAUCCAGGGCUCGUACUUCUGCUCGCAGGAAUGUUUUAAAGGAAGUUGGGCUACUCACAAGUUACUACAUAAGAAAGCAAAUGAAAAGGCAAAGCGAGAAGUGUCUUCCUGGACUGUGGAAGGUGAUAUUAAUACUGACCCAUGGGCAGGUUAUCGAUAUACUGGUAAACUCAGACCACAUUAUCCACUGAUGCCAACAAGGCCAGUGCCAAGUUAUAUUCAAAGACCAGAUUAUGCUGAUCAUCCCUUAGAUAAUGAUACUGAGACACCCAGCGAAGAUAGGUAAUUUGCAACACAGGAACAGGGAAUGUCUGAAUCUGAACAGGCUCUUAAAGGUACUUCUCAGAUUAAAUUACUCUCAUCUGAAGAUAUAGAAGG
rnacentral:sRNA from 1 species